rnacentral:rRNA from 1 species
ACAUCCAGAGAAUUUAGCAGAGAUGCUUUAGUGCCUUCGGGAACUCUGAGACAGGUGCUGCAUGGCUGUCGUCAGCUCGUGUUGUGAAAUGUUGGGUUAAGUCCCGCAACGAGCGCAACCCUUAUCCUUGUUGCCAGCACGUAAUGGUGGGAACUCAAAGGAGACUGCCGGUGAUAAACCGGAGGAAGGUGGGGAUGACGUCAAGUCAUCAUGGCCCUUACGAGUAGGGCUACACACGUGCUACAAUGGCGCAUACAAAGAGAAGCGACCUCGCGAGAGCAAGCGGACCUCAUAAAGUGCGUCGUAGUCCGGAUUGGAGUCUGCAACUCGACUCCAUGAAGUCGGAAUCGCUAGUAAUCGUAAAUCAGAAUGUUACGGUGAAUACGUUCCCGGGCCUUGUACACACCGCCCGUCACACCAUGGGAGUGGGUUGCAAAAGAAGUAGAUAGCUUAACCUUCGGGAGGGCGUUUACCACUUUGUGAUUCAUGACUGGGGUGAAGUCGUAACAAGGUAGGCGUAGUGCU